ACUGUGUUUCUCAAGGAGAGAGAGAAAGAGAGAGAGGAAGAGUAGCUAAAGGCAAUAUGAGGGGUUGGAAGAACUUGGGGAUUGUUGAGACCAUCUAUGAAGAAGAAGACUAUGAGUUCUCCUCCUCCUCUCCUUCUCUCUCCCCAGCCCUCUCUUCUCCUUGCACUCCUCUGCAUUCUAGAGUAGAAUCAUGGUCUCGGGCAACAGGGCACAAAGCAGAAGUAUUGAUUCGAGUUCAGGGAAAAUGUUUCCACC